UAUAGCUCAGUGGUAAAGCAUUUGCCUAGCAUGCAUAUGGCCCUGGGUUUGAUCUCCAGUA
rnacentral:tRNA from 1 species